rnacentral:tRNA from 1 species
AUUUAAGUAAUUUAAUAAAAAAUUUUGAUUUGUGGUAUCAAAUAUGUAAAUU